CGCAGCAGUUCAAACUGAGGACGCACAGGGGGAUAUCUUGCAGACGUGGUAAACAGAGGAAAACAGAAGCGUCUCAAGCCAAGCAAUUACAUUCUCUUUUGGAUUUCCAAAGGUUUAGAUGUCGGCUCAUCUGGUGUGAAGUGUUUACCAGUUCAGCCUCUGUGUUUGAGGAGAGGAGGUACAUUUCAGCUAUACUCGGGUCUCGUAAACGGAAUGAAUGACCAAGACAAAGGUUGACACCGGUUCCCCGACGCAUUUUGUCUCGUCGAAGGAGAAGAGACAAAAGCAGAAAAUGGAGAGCAGCACUGGAGAACAAGAGCAGCCGCAGCCGUCACAACAGCAGCCUGCCCAGCCGCUACAAGUUACCGAGAAAAAGAAAAUACACCGGGCACCGUCUCCAGCAAGACCCAAAGAUGUGCCCGGGUGGUCCCUCACUAAAAUCCGCGGCGGUAUCGGCACGCCGACGCUGAGCGUUAAACCGGGGGCCAUAUAUUUAGGCGGCCGCGUGUCCAGACGUAGCCCGGUUACCGGGAAGGAGACAAAAACAGAGAAGAGUAAACCGACCGGCAAACCCGCGCUGUCCACGGCCGGUGCUCAGAAGAGCAGCGUGAAGUCUAAUAAAAGCGGCCGGAGAAAAGUUUCGGACGCCAGCAUCGGAUCGGAUGAUUUGAGCAAGGACUCCGGCUGCGCAGGCCCCUUUGAGAGUGGGUGGCUGUCGUCGAGCCUCGAGAGGCUGUGCGCCUCCGAGGAGAAUAAAGUCUCCACAGAUGCGCUCAGCAGCGACACCGAGACCAGCAGCCGCGGGGGGAUCGACGGCGAGAAAGCGGCAGCGGAACAUGGACUGUUGGACAAGAGUGGUCAAACCAAGACCAGCCUGGAGAAAGACCGGCUCUCGCUGGGAGUGGAGACCGCAGAGGGGAGCGUCUCUCCCGGCGACGAGCGCUCGCUCACCUCGUUCGACAGCAGGAUGCCCGCCAGCACGUCCUUGGCGUUUUCGGACCUGA
rnacentral:lncRNA from 1 species